AUCUAGUGCAACUGACUGAAUGGAAAACAGCUAACGUUAUUUCGACAGACUAAGGGUGUUUUGGCUGACUGAACCGUGACAACGCGGAGGAGAUAGACCAGGAAACGCUCUUGCUUUUAGACGACUCGACUAUAGCCUGAAGUUAAAGAAGAACAUGAAAGACUUACACGCAAAUGGGGCGGGGCUCAGGGGCUGUGUGUGGCUGGGGGUGUUUGAGAGGGAAAGACACAAAGGACAGCCAACCAGUAAAAGCACAGCCCCCUUCAUUGUCAAUGCAUUGUGCCUACAACAUCAAAGAGCCAUUCCAGAGUUAGGUGUCAGCCAGACUAGUGAUUGCCCCAUAUGACUUCAAAUUGUGUUAUG